CUAAAUCGAGGUAUACCUGAUCAUAUUUGCUUUGAUGAAUGAAUACAACACCUGAGUGAGAUUACAAAAUAGCCAGGAAACUUCAGCCGCAUCGGAGCUUCGCGAUUCAACGUUCAACGUUUGGAGAAAGAGCUGCGUUUUUGGCAAGCGUGCUUCUAACUGAAUUCCCGCUGUUCGGUUGUUAUUUAUUUUGUUCAUGAAGCUCAUACGCUUCUAACUUAAAAUCGCGCUCUUGGGAAUCUAAAGUUGCUAAAUGAUUUUCCCAAACAAACCACUUUAAUCCCCCAUAUCAUUUCUAAUCACCUUGCGUAUCCAAACGACUGUUGUUUUUAUUAGAUUGUCACUCCAGCAUGCCGAGAAUAUGCUGAUAUCACGCUUUACCAAGCUAUGACCAACAACGAGUCACCAUCAUCUAUCAACUACCAGGCGUUCGCGUCAUUUGGUUAGGAACUAAAACGCCGAACCUGGACAGUCGUCCAUCAUAUCCCAUUAGGCGGCAUUCAUUGCGCUAGAUUUGGGAGAAGCGAGACGGUCGUGGGCCAGAGAACGGAAUCAUUGCCGCCCGCCGCCGCAAUUCAUCCCGAACGCUAGUAUAAAUGCAACGCGCGCCGAUUUUCUUCGAACAGUCAUUCGUCAAGCGUAGAACUAACCGGUCAGUGCGAAACGAUCGCCGUGGUCAACGUGUCUCUCCGCUUGCUGUGGUGUGUAGAUCAGCUGGAAAAACGGUUCUAACUUGAGCCUACUGUGUGAACCGAGUUCGGUCUUUGUGUGGGGAUCUUUUCUUACUGCAAGGUGUCCUUUUGCGCGUUUCGUGUGUAGUCGGAAGGAUAUUAACAGACAGUGUGCGUGUUCUGUUGAUUUAGCUGAAGAAGUGCACACGUGCAGCCCCAUCAGUAGUGUUCGACAUAACCGGUAGAAUCCGCAGAUCGAAAAAAGAUGUCGAAGCCCCUCGAGGAAUCCCCCAAUGCCCACAUAAACAAGACUCUGCUGGACAAGUAUAUGAGUCUGCCGAUGCCGGAGGGCAAAAUCCAGGCUACCUACAUCUGGAUCGACGGUACCGGCGAAAACCUCCGCUGCAAGGACCGAACGCUCGAAUUCAUUCCUGAGAAACCCAGCGGUAAGUGCUCGUCUAACGGAUAACGAUGAUCACACGUUUCUAGAUGUACACUCAGAAAUUGGGAAAGUCAUAAAACGACUAUUCUUCAGUCUCGUAAUAACUAAAUAAAGUUUAUGCAUAGGUGUAGCUAAAAACUACGCAUUAAUAAAAUAGUUUUUAGUAUUUCACUGCGUAAACUGAGUUUAGUUUUCAAACUUCUAAAACUCAGAUCCGCGUUUUUUUUUUCGUGCAUAAUUGAACAAGUGAGUUCGUAAAAAUUGUUGAGUGUUUUAUGCCGGUUAUAAGAUGUUUUGAUCAUUCCAAUGGUAAAUAUUAAAUAUGUUACUCAUCGUAAAAUGUAAGAUUCUAAAUGUGUUAUAAUUACAUACAGGUAUGGACCUUCGUGUUGAACAGCUGAUGCGGUUUACUUCACGUUACGUGAUCGAGUCUGCAUUGAAAGCAGAAGCAACGAUGUACAACUUUUAACAAAUUCGUUAACGAAGCAGGUAUUCAUAAAUAUAAAUAAAUAAAUUAUAAAUUGUGACAUGCAUAUGAAUAAAUAACAUGUUGAUUAAUAAAUAUGAUUUUAACUGGUAGAAAGUCUAUAAAUAAGGCCGAGAAUUACUCAAAACUAGUCAUUUGAAGCAUAAAAAUAAGACCAUUGUAUCAACGGUCAAUUUCACAAAAAUAGUACUAAAUACUAAAAAGUAUGCAUUGGUAUACUAAAUGAAAUUAAGAUUCUAGAAACUAUUUGCUAUUUAGUAACUUAAUGCAUGAACCCAGUCGAACCUACAUUUUGCAUGAAAAAUAUGCAUUAAUGACUUCUUUUAUUUCUGAGUGUAGGUACAUAUGUGUUUUACUGUGACGAUUGAUUCUAACAACUUUAUUACGACUCUCGGUCAUUGCAUCGCCGACAUUGGUCGGUCAUCAUUCUGCUUGUUCAGUAUAGUCGUUGUGUGCAAUAUAAUAUUCAAGUUCAAAGUCAACGUCGCUCUAAACCUGUAUGUACUAGCAAUUUGCCCAGUUAGUACUAAAUCGCACUGCACUUACUUAUCCGCAGUAACGGUAUCCCCGCCGCGUGUCAGCUGAGUUGAGUUAGUCCCACACGCGUUCGUCAAUGAAUGCAACUCAUAGUGGGGAUGUCUAUAUGCACUUGGUGAUGCAUUUCCACUUCCCCGUUCAACUUACCUACCAUUGGAAAAUUACACCAGUAACCUUCGUCGUUUGUCAUGGCGAGGCGACAGAACGGGGUAUAUGGCUAUUUAUAACGCUUACUUCCGUCCAAUGAAUCUUUGACGACGGUAUUCAGAGAACUUUUUCGACUUUUUCCGAUCGAUUAAAUUAUACGAGUCACGAAAAUUGUAGUGAGUAAAUCAAUAAAUGAGCCCAUGCAGUGGAAGCGAUAAACGCGUGAGUAUUCAGCAAGAACAUGCUGAGAUUGUCUGGGUUCGAUUUUCGGUCUGGAAAUUUCCUAAGCCAGUAAACCCUCUCUGUCCAUUUGCUGAGCAUCUAGACUCUAGCUGGAGUCUGGCCAUGAGCAAUAUAGACCUCCUUACGAAUAUUUUGGUAAAAUUCAUAGACAUUUUUGCCUUGCCAUUCGUAGUGAAAUUUCUUUUACAAUUCUUUAAGACAAUUUUCAAGUUUCUAAUCGCUGCUUUGGAAUUUCCGGCAAAGUUCUUCGAAGUUUUUAUUAUGAACAAGCGUUGGAAUUCUAUUUUUUUUUUCCUGGAGGCCCUUAAAAAUGUUUUGGUCGAGUGGAGUUUUCGAAAAAUUUUCUGGAGAUAUGUAUUGUGUUGAAAACCUUGAGGGAUUUUCAACAUUUAUUUUUGCGAUUUUAUUUUCUGCGAAAGCCAAUAAAGACGUUCACUGAAAAUCUGAAUACACAAUUUUCUGUGGAAUACCAGUUAGAAAGUAUAGCCAAUUUAGGAAAGAAACAAUGUAAAAAAAAGAGAAAAUUCCCAAUUGAAAUCCUGGAAGAAUGUCUGACAGAAUUUCUUACAAAAUGUUAGGAAAAGUCUUUACACGGCAUACUGGUAACCAGAGCCGGAUUUGAGGGGGGGGGGCGGCCCUGGGCCCCCACAUUUCAGAGGCCCCCACAAAAUUCCACUUCACGAAAAAAAAAAAUGUGAAGCAAGAAAAAAAGUAGUGCAAGAAACUUCUCUUCAUUGAUUUUUAUCAUAAGAAUUUGGAGUUACUGUUUACUAGCAAGCAAGAUGAAUGUGUUAUUGUGUUAUGGUGUGAUUUUUUUUUGAGAAAGACUGCAUUUUUUUUUUCUAGCUAUUUAUGAACUUUUAAAGUUUGCCUUAAAAACUUAUGAGCAAUUUUUCAGCAAAUGCUUAAGAAAAAACGGAAAUCCUGUAGAAAAUCUUCGGCUGAUUUCUAGAGGAACUCUAUAAAUUGCAGAGUCUUUUUCGUGCUGAAUUUGAUAGUUUUUUUUGUCUAGAGUUUUUGGACCAUAAAAGGAUUUUUUUGUCGAUAUUUAGUAGUUUUUUUUAGCUCGAGCUCAAGAUAUUUAGUAGUUUUUUUUAACUUUUGAGUUUAAUUUUACUUAGGCAGCUUUUGACUUACUUAAACCGGAAAACACCGAAAAUUUCGAAACACUUUUUUGAGGAAAUCUAACAUCAAUUUAAGGCAGAUUAUUUUGAAGAGUUUUAGCCCGAUUUUUUUUUAGUUGAGAGAUUUGCUUACUCAAAUAAGGAUGAAUCCAUGGCGAGCUCAUGAUAAAAUCCAUAGAUUCCUUGAGAAAAUUUCAGAAGAAAAUUGUGGAAAAAUUGACUAAAAAUUUAUCCGGGUUUUCCGCUGAAGAUUUUCAAGAAAUUUGAAAGGAAAUCCUAUUGGAAAUUAAGCCAGAAAUUCCCUCAGGAACUUAUCAUGGAUUCCCUUUAAAAUUUCUUCAGCAUUUUCUGUUAGAAUUCCAUUUUUGAUUUUAGAGUUUUGUGAACCUCGCCUAGCAUUCGCUUUAGAACAAGUUUUUUUAGUGAUCAUUCUUUAUGGUAAUCGACUAGCAACUUCUCCGGAGAUUGCAGCUAGGAUUUAUUAGAAAUUCCAUUUACAUUUUGCAAAAACGACACCACAGAUUGCACUACAAUUUUACUAGAAAUUUCUUGAAAAUUUCAGCUAUAAAUUCUUCUUGCAGCUGCUAUAAACUCUGACAUGAUUUUCUUCUAAAUCUGGGAUCGAAUGCCGUGAAUAGCAUUUUUGGCUGCAUAUUAAUUUAUUUUUAUCAUUGUUUUUACGCUAGAAUUUCAAAACUGUUAUGUAUUAAUUUAGAGUCUGGGGCCAUUUGGGCAGGGGAAUCUAUUUUGGGCACUUGCUGCUAUAACUCAGUCAAAUUCAAUACAAUUGACUUGAAUUUUUGAUCAUGGCUAGAUACGGUACGUUGGUACGUAUCUAAUCGCGUCCCAAAAAUCAAGUCAAUCGAGUUGAAAUUGUUAGUUAUAACAGCAAGUGCCCAAAAUAGGUCCCCUUGCCCAAAUGGUCUCAGACCUUAGUGGAUAUCAACAUUUUCCUAUAGCUCUGCUAUUUUUUUUUGUUUUUAUUAAUGUGUAUUUUAACAUUAAGCUAAUUCUACACAUAAUAGGCACACAAUUGGCUCUGCUAUUGUGGUAGAUUCAAAUUCUUCUACAACCAAGGGCUGAAAGUUUCUUAAAUAAAGACAAAUCAAUCAAUCAAUUCUUCCACAACGUCAUUAAUACCUUCAUUAUUAUAUUUGUAAGAAUGAUUAAUAAUUUUUUAAUAGAUUUUUUCUGUGUUAUUCCGACAAAAAUAUAACCUCUAUAUAAGGCGCCCCACAAUUAAAGUUAAAUUAAAGCGGCUAGUGAUAGUGGUAUCAACGUAAUUCAACAAUAGUGGCGCCAUUUACCACUUUAAUUCAACUUUAAUGGAUUAUAUAGGGGAGCCUGGGUAGACUUGACCCCUUUUUCUUAAUUUAACUUUAACUAUAAACUAGAUCCGUUUCCGUACAGAAUGGCAAGUAAACAUCUAUUGCAAGUUUAUACACAACAGAAGGCCUUUAAAUUACUGUUAAAGUUUUUAAAACUGGAUUUCUAUGAAGGCAUGUCUUAUGAUGUAUUUUUCAAAAAUGGGUGACACUUGAUCCCCCUCUGAACACGUGGUUUAUUCAAAAGAAAAAUAACUACAGAGGCUUCCUAUUCGUUUUUUUUUUGUUUUUUCGAUGAAUAUGGUGUAUUUGAAAUUUUAUGAUAUCCUUUUUUGAACGUUCCCUUUUUUGGUGACAUUUCAAUCGAAAAAGUGCUCAAAUUGCACUACCGCAACGAAGAGAACAACUACCCUAGCCAUGAUUUCUGAGUACUAUCCUUGGCGUCAUGUCACAUGUGCAACCAUGUUGCCUGCUGGGAAGCUUAACGACCUCUGUGAAAGCUUCUCCAGUUUGAUGAAAAUCCUUAACUAAUUAAUAAAACGUCCGAUUUGAAUGCGAUCUUCGGUAAAGUUGUAGCUGAUAAAGUAGCCUUUGAGUACCAAAAGAAUCAACUAUUACCCUAGGGCACUUGGGGGCAAUGAUACGGUCGAUUGAAUGAAAAACAAUGAGUAACAAUUUCAGCUCUGUAUGUUGUAUGGAUGACGAGAUCCGUACUUUUGGUAUUAGCAGGGCAGCCAUUUGUGACGGCUAUCUUUGGACUCGCUUAAAAGCUUUGGCUUUCAUCAUUUUUCUUGUCAUUAUCAAUCUUUGCAGUGCACAGUGAUGAAAAUGUCAUUUUGACAUACCUAUCUAGAUUCAAUCACCAACAGCUCAUUUCAGAAACUGAACCUGAUAAUAUGGUAGAAUAGUGGACGUAUUUUGGCCCGAGGCAUGUAUUUUGGCCUACCCUGGGAUUUUUAUUACAUUUAUCAUAAAAUCUCUACAAAAUUUUGACACACUUUUAUUGGAAGUUCCAAUAAUAAUUUGCCAAGAUUUUGUAGAGAAUAUAUGAUAAAUGUAAUAAAAAUCCCAGGGUAGGCCAAAAUACAUGCCCCGGGCCAAAAUACGUCCACUACCCUGUAUUAAAAACUUGUGCGACUGGAAAAGUUCUACAAGAAAGUGUUUUUAGUAACCAACUAAACCUAAAAAAUGGAUCUCUUGAAAUUUCUCGGGAAACUUAAGAAUUCGUGGCAAACAUCAGAACAAUGUACGAUUGAUUGAAAAAUUUGAACGAAAAGCUAGAUCGCUGUUUUGAUAAAAUUGUUACAGAAAUUGGGCAAAUUUUGUAAAAAAAAUAUUCUAAAUCAUCGAUGUUUUGGCUACCAUGAUCAAAGCUCUUGAGCUACAUUACAUAAUGCAUGAUACUUAGAUUCGGGAUAAAUUGAUUCAGGCGAAUGACCUGGUGUAUUGGUUAAAACCCGUGACUAUCAAGCCGAGGACGUGGGAUCGAAUCCCACUCCCGACAAACUCACAAAAUGUGGGUACUUCUUUCGUGAGUUCUACCAGAAGCUCAACGCAUCCCGCAAAGGCUACGUGCCGCAAGCCGAAAUCUGCAGGGAUAAGGACGGGAGCCUCCUGACGGACAAACGUGAGGUGAUCGAAAGGUGGAAGCAGCACUUCGACGAGCACCUGAAUGGCGAAGAGAAUGUAGGCAUGGAGGACCAAGGCAGCGGAGAAAAUGACUAUGUUAGUGCAGCAGACGACGGGAACGAACCAACUCCCACGAUGAGGGAAGUUAAGGAUGCCAUCCACCAGCUCAAAAACAACAAAGCGACUGAUUGGAACGGCCCCGCUCUAGUGUCAAAAUCCUCGGACCGCGAUGAAUUCGGUUCAUCGGUGGAUAAGUCCAUAGUCCAUUUUACGAGCCGAUUUUAUGAAUGAAUUUUGACAGGAGGCAGCGUCCAAUAACCCGUGAAAAUCAAUAUCAUCAUCAACAUUGUUGUCACUUCGUAAAAUGGCUCAUUUCAACCUCCUUUUAAGGUGAAACAUCAAGAAAUCCCAUUGCAAUUUUGCAUACAAACUUUAGAGGCACAAAUCUGACGAACGAAGCAUCAAACCAAACCGCACUUGUUUAUCCUGGCUUUGUUAUUUUUUUAAUUUCACUGUCCCUGGUAAAAAGUGUUCGACGACAUCAUUAAUUUUCCAUAACUUAAACACUAUUAGUAAUUCGUGAUGUAAACGAAUCGAAAUUUACACCGGCAGUGGCUGGAAUUGAGAUAUUUUUUUUUCUGAAACUCCGUGACAUUUCCCAUCCUUGGACUCUGGAUUCGAUUUUUUGUACGCCCGUGUAUCAUCUCUUUGGAAGUUUCAUUAAUUUGCUUGGGCAAGCACACGAUUCAGUCAAUGAAAAAAAAAAAAACAAUAGUUUAGCAUUGAUUAUACGUCAUUUUCAAUUUCAACAUCAAUAUUGUUGUGAACGAGCAUCCAACGUGAGGCGAAUGCCCCCUAUGGAAGCGUCAUCGGCAAGGCUCGUCUCAUCACGACGACGGAUGGACGACGAUCGCCGCCGCCGAUGACGACGACGACGAACAGGAGCAACAACAACAGAACGCCAUCAUCUGCAACAGCAGCAAGAUGCUGCCCGCGCGAUCUCCGCGAGAUUACUUUUAAUCUGUUUGUAAUAUUGUGUACAUAAUGUAAAUAGUAGUCUUGUGUCAAUAAAUGUGCAUGUUUUUAUUA